rnacentral:rRNA from 1 species
GAUGAACGCUGGCGGCGUGCCUAAUACAUGCAAGUCGAGCGAACGGACGAGAAGCUUGCUUCUCUGAUGUUAGCGGCGGACGGGUGAGUAACACGUGGAUAACCUACCUAUAAGACUGGGAUAACUUCGGGAAACCGGAGCUAAUACCGUAUAAUAUUUUGAACCGCAUGGUUCAAAAGUGAAAGACGGUCUUGCUGUCACUUAUAGAUGGAUCCGCGCUGCAUUAGCUAGUUGGUAAGGUAACGGCUUACCAAGGCAACGAUGCAUAGCCGACCUGAGAGGGUGAUCGGCCACACGGGAACUGAGACACGGUCCAGACUCCUACGGGAGGCAGCAGUAGGGAAUCUUCCGCAAUGGGCGAAAGCCUGACGGAGCAACGCCGCGUGAGUGAUGAAGGUCUUCGGAUCGUAAAACUCUGUUAUUAGGGAAGAACAUAUGUGUAAGUAACUGUGCACAUCUUGACGGUACCUAAUCAGAAAGCCACGGCUAACUACGUG